rnacentral:tRNA from 2 species
GGCCGAGUGGUGGAACUGGAAUACACGCGCGGUUGAGGUCCUCGUGGACGAAAGUAGUCCUUGCGAGUUCGAGUCUCGCCUCGGCCA